rnacentral:tRNA from 1 species
UUCCUGGUGAUCCAAUAGUUAAGACUUCUUGCUUUCAAGGCAAGGGGUGCAGGUUCAAUCCCUGGUCAGGAAC